UCUCCGUUGGUGAACCAGCGGAGGGAUCAUUACUGAGUGAGGGUUUAACCGCCCGACCUCCAACCCUUUGUGAACCAAACUUGUUGCUUCGGGGGCGACCCUGCCGUUCGGCGCGGCGCCCCCGGAGGCUCAUCAAACACUGCAUCUCUGCGUCGGAGUCUUAAUGAAUUUAAACAAAACUUUUAACAACGGAUCUCUUGGUUCUGGCAUCGAUGAAGAACGCAGC
rnacentral:misc_RNA from 1 species